AAAGAACACAGAAGAGAAGAAUAUCCGGUCAGCUCCCUGGAGAAGUUAAAUGUGAAAAGAGCUAAAGAGGCGUUCCUGGCAAGUACAAGCAGGAGAGGACAGACGCAGAUACUGCCGCAAAAAUCUUUCUUGAGAUUUCUCUUCACUGCAACCAUGGAGUGGGUAACGUUAACCAUUACAGUGACUAACUAAUAACUCAGUUAUAACAGCAAUGUUAAAGUGUAACGUUACACGGGUAUGUGAGAAUUGUUUUAUAAUAUAAUUAUAAUGUUUUUGUGUCCUGCAAUGGCUGACUACACAGUAAAAAACAUUUAGCUAACACUUUUAACCAAAGCGACUUAUAAUUGCUAUACAUGUCAGAGGUCGCACGCCUCUGGAGCAACUAGGGGUUAAGUGUCUUGCUCAGGGACACAUGGUGGAUGUUUCACAGUGGGAAUUGAACCCAGGUCUCCCACACCAAAGGCAAGCAUCUUAUCUAUGCGCCAUCACCACCCCGAGACUGGCUCUUUGGCACUGCUGUGAAAGUUGUAUGUUUGGUAUCCUGUAGACCUGUGUUUGAAUCUGGGCAGGGUGAUGCAUAUGGCGUCAGAAGUCGGAUGGCUUGUCCUGAGGUCAUCUGAGCCAUGCCCAGUGUCCAAACUGCAUGAAGGACACCCAUGGGUAACAUUAAUAAUGGGGUGUGUAUAGUGUAUUUUCUAUGUAAUACUGCUCAUAUGUCAUCAUUUUACUGAUUUUAUUUUAUUUGAUUAUUUUAUUUUGCUCAAGAUGUGAUAAAUUCUGCUGUACUUUUUAAUGUACAGGAAUAUAUUGUUGUAAUGUACAUAAAAUUAAAGUUUUUUAGUUGUC